GGUGGUGCAUGGUUGUCGUCAGCUCGUGUCGUGAGAUGUUGGGUUAAGUCCCGCAACGAGCGCAACCCUUAUUACUAGUNGCCAGCAUUUAGUUGGGCACUCUAGUGAGACUGCCGGUGACAAACCGGAGGAAGGUGGGGAUGACGUCAAAUCAUCAUGCCCCUUAUGACCUGGGCUACACACGUGCUACAAUGGCGUAUACAACGAGUUGCCAACCCGCGAGGGUGAGCUAAUCUCUUAAAGUACGUCUCAGUUCGGAUUGUAGGCUGCAACUCGCCUACAUGAAGUCGGAAUCGCUAGUAAUCGCGGAUCAGCACGCCGCGGUGAAUACGUUCCCGGGUCUUGUACACAC
rnacentral:rRNA from 1 species